rnacentral:miRNA from 1 species
AUAAGUAGACAUUGUCCGGCUU